UCGACAUGUAAAGUAGUUAAAUUGGAAAACAGAAUGUCUCCACACCAAUUAUUUGAAAACAAGGCCGGAAAUAUGGUUUCUAGCCAAAAUUUAAAAUCUACUUCACUAAGCACAAUAUUCAAGUAUAUAUAAUCAAAUGUAUUUAAAGCAAACUAUUUCCAUGUAAUUUCAAAUAUUUGAAGAUAAGUUUCAUAAUACAUAUAUAUAGGGGAAAGAUCUGGUGUGGCUACUGCUUCCUGUGCGGUCAUGUGGCUUUGCACCACUAUGUAUGCACAAAUGCACUACCAUGUGUUCAUAAAUGCACCCGGUGCAUUUCUGAACACUUGGUGGUGCAUUUGUACAUACAUAGUGGUGCAAAGCCGCACGACCACACGGGAAGUAGUAGCCGCAUAAGAACCAACUUCUAUAUAUAUAAAUUGGUUCAUAUGCAACGCUGGUCUCCCCUACGGUUGUGCAGACAUGUCAGAACCGUAGAAUGAGCUCAGCUCAGACGGAUGAAAAUCAAUACAGAUGAGAAAAAAUGCAAGGGCAAAUUUUGUAAUUUUGUCGACAAUGUUUGUUUUGGUGGUGCACUUAAAUGCUGAUGAAUGGUGCACUUAUGAGUGGUCUGCAGUGCAUUGCUUGAUACUUUGUGGUGCACCACCAAAGUAGCUGAAAAUCAAUCAAAAGGGAAAAAAUGCGAUGGCAUUUUUGUAAUUUUGUGCACCAUGUAUAUUUCGGUAGUGCACUAAGUACUGGUGUGUGAUGCACUUAUGAGUGCUCUGUGGUGCACUUAUGAGUGAAUUGUGGUGCACCACCAAAAAGGAAAAAGAACACGGUGAGUUCAAAAAAACCCGUCGAGUGGUGCAAUACUAAGUACACCACAAUUCGCUCAUAAGUGCACAACAUACCAGCACUUAGCGCACCACAAAACUACACUUGUAUAUUUCGGUAGUGCACUAAGUGCUCGUGUGUGGUGCACUUAUGAGUGA